ACCAGACUCCUACGGGAGGCAGCAGUGAGGAAUAUUGGUCAAUGGGCGCAAGCCUGACCCAGCAACGCCGCGUGAAGGAAGAAGGCUUUCGGGUUGUAAACUUCUUUUCUCAGGGACGAAGAAAGUGACGGUACCUGAGGAAUAAGCCACGGCUAACUACGUGCCAGCAGCCGCGGUAAUACGUAGGUGGCAAGCGUUAUCCGGAUUUACUGGGUGUAAAGGGCGUGUAGGCGGGAAAGCAAGUCAGAUGUGAAAACCAUGGGCUCAACCUGUGGCCUGCAUUUGAAACUGUUUUUCUUGAGUACUGGAGAGGCAGACGGAAUUCCUCGUGUAGCGGUGAAAUGCGUAGAUAUGAGGAGGAACACCAGUGGCGAAGGCGGCCUGCUGGACAGCAACUGACGCUGAGGCGCGAAAGCGUGGGGAGCAAACAGGAUUAGAUACCCCUGUACG
rnacentral:rRNA from 1 species